rnacentral:rRNA from 1 species
GACAGAGGGUGCAAACGUUGUUCGGAAUUACUGGGCGUAAAGCGCGUGUAGGCGGCCCUGCAAGUCGGAUGUGAAAUCCCACGGCUCAACCGUGGAAGUGCAUUCGAAACUGCAGGGCUAGAGUCCUGGAGAGGAAGGUGGAAUGCUUGGUGUAGAGGUGAAAUUCGUAGAUAUCAAGCGGAACACCAGUGGCGAAGGCGGCUCACUGGACCGGUACUGACGCUGAGGCGCGAAAGCGUGGGGAGCAAACAGGG